UUAGUGGAAUUUUGCUCGACG
ensembl:piRNA 21ur-4021 ncRNA